AAGUUGCAAAUAAAUGCGUCGGCGGGCGCCGGCCGGGCCUACGGAGCGGAAGACGAAGCCCCAUACGCUCGAGGACCGGACGCGGUGCCGCCGCUGCCUUUCGGGCCCGUCCCCCGGGAGCCGGGGGACGAGGGCCCAACACACAAGCCGGGCUUGAGGGCAGCAAUGACGCUCGGACAGGCAUGCCCCCCGGAAUACCAGGGGGCGCAAUGUGCGUUCAAAGACUCGAUGAUUCACUGAAUUCUGCAAUUCACAUUAGUUAUCGCAUUUCGCUGCGUUCUUCAUCGAUGCCGGAACCAAGAGAUCCAUUGUUGAAAGUUUUAACUGAUUGCAAAGAAUCACACUCAGACUGCAAGCUUUCAGAACAGGGUUCAUGUUGGGGUCUCCGGCGGGCACGGGCCCGGGGGCGAGUCGCCCCCCGGCGGCCAGCAACGCUGGCGGGCCCGCCGAAGCAACAAGGUACAAUAGUCACGGGUGGGAGGUUGGGCCAUAAAGACCCGCACUCGGUAAUGAUCCUUCCGCAGGUUCACCA
rnacentral:misc_RNA from 1 species